rnacentral:rRNA from 1 species
AGCAGUCGCCACGGUAAUACGAAGGGGGCUAGCGUUGCUCGGAAUUACUGGGCGUAAAGGGAGCGUAGGCGGAUCGUUUAGUCAGGGGUGAAAUCCCGGGGCUCAACCUCGGAACUGCAUUUGAUACUGGCGACCUUGAGUAUGGGAGAGGUAAGUGGAACUCCGAGUGUAGAGGUGAAAUUCGUAGAUAUUCGGAAGAACACCAGUGGCGAAGGCGAUUUACUGGGCCAUUACUGACGCUGAUGCUCGAAAGCGUGGGGAGCAAACAGGAUUAGAUACCCGUGUAGUCCCUGUCUCUUAUAA